rnacentral:rRNA from 1 species
UGGUAGUNCACGCCGUAAACGAUGAGUGCUAGGUGUUAGGCCCUUUCCGGGGCUUAGUGCCGGAGCUAACGCAAUAAGCACUCCGCCUGGGGAGUACGACCGCAAGGUUGAAACUCAAAGGAAUUGACGGGGGCCCGCACAAGCGGUGGAGCAUGUGGUUUAAUUCGAAGCAACGCGAAGAACCUUACCAGGUCUUGACAUCCCGAUGCUAUUCUUAGAGAUAGGAAGUUACUUCGGUACAUCGGAGACAGGUGGUGCAUGGUUGUCGUCAGCUCGUGUCGUGAGAUGUUGGGUUAAGUCCCGCAACGAGCGCAACCCUUAUUGUUAGUUGCCAUCAUUAAGUUGGGCACUCUAGCGAGACUGCCGGUAAUAAACCGGAGGAAGGUGGGGAUGACGUCAAAUCAUCAUGCCCCUUAUGACCUGGGCUACACACGUGCUACAAUGGUCGGUACAACGAGUUGCGAGCCGGUGACGGCAAGCUAAUCUCUGAAAGCCGAUCUCAGUUCGGAUUGGAGGCUGCAACUCGCCUCCAUGAAGUCGGAAUCGCUAGUAAUCGCGGAUCAGCACGCCGCGGUGAAUACGUUCCCGGGCCUUGU